CCGAGAGGCGUAGGCGAUGGGAAACAGGUUAAUAUUCCUGUACUUGGUGUUACUGCGAAGGGGGGACGGAGAAGGCUAUGUUGGCCGGGCGACGGUUGUCCCGGUUUAAGCGUGUAGGCUGGUUUUCCAGGCAAAUCCGGAAAAUCAAGGCUGAGGCGUGAUGACGAGGCACUACGGUGCUGAAGCAACAAAUGCCCUGCUUCCAGGAAAAGCCUCUAAGCAUCAGGUAACAUCAAAUCGUACCCCAAACCAACACAGG
rnacentral:rRNA from 1 species